rnacentral:rRNA from 1 species
GGCAUAGUGUGGGGACCUUCCACGUUUCCGCGCCGCAGUAACGCUUAAGUGCCCCGCUGGGGAGUACGGCCGCAAGGUAAAACUCAAAGGAAUUGACGGGGGCCCGCACAAGCGGCGGAGCUGCGGAUUAAUUCGAUGCAACGCGAAGAACCUUACCAAGGCUUGACAUGUUCUCGAUCGCCGUAGAGAUACGGUUUCCCCUUUGGGGCGGGUUCACAGGUGGUGCAUGGUUGUCGUCAGCUCGUGUCGUGAGAUGUUGGGUUAAGUCCCGCAACGAGCGCAACCCUCGUUCCAUGUUGCCAGCACGUAGUGGUGGGGACUCAUGGGAGACUGCCGGGGUCAACUCGGAGGAAGGUGAGGACGACGUCAAAUCAUCAUGCCCCUUAUGUCUUGGGCUUCACGCAUGCUACAAUGGCCGGUACAAUGGGUUGCGAUACUGUGAGGUGGAGCUAAUCCCAAAAAGCCGGUCUCAGUUCGGAUUGGGGUCUGCAACUCGACCCCAUGAAGUGGAGUCGCUAGUAAUCGCAGAUCAGCAACGCUGCGGUGAAUACGUUCCCGGGCCUUGUACACACCGCCCGUCAAGUCACGAAAGUUGGUAACACCCGAAGCCGGUGGCCUAACCCUUGUGGGGGGAGCCGUCGAAGGUGGGACCAGCGAUUGGGACUC